rnacentral:rRNA from 1 species
AUGAACGCUAGCGACAGGCUUAACACAUGCAAGUCGAGGGGCAGCACAGGUAGCAAUACCGGGUGGCGACCGGCGCACGGGUGAGUAACGCGUAUGCAACUUGCCUAUCAGAGGGGGAUAACCCGGCGAAAGUCGGACUAAUACCGCAUGAAGCAGGGGUCCCGCAUGGGGAUAUUUGCUAAAGAUUCAUCGCUGAUAGAUAGGCAUGCGUUCCAUUAGGCAGUUGGCGGGGUAACGGCCCACCAAACCGACGAUGGAUAGGGGUUCUGAGAGGAAGGUCCCCCACAUUGGUACUGAGACACGGACCAAACUCCUACGGGAGGCAGCAGUGAGGAAUAUUGGUCAAUGGGCGUAAGCCUGAACCAGCCAAGUCGCGUGAGGGAUGAAGGUUCUAUGGAUCGUAAACCUCUUUUAUAAGGGAAUAAAGUGCGGGACGUGUCCCGUUUUGUAUGUACCUUAUGAAUAAGGAUCGGCUAACUCCGUGCCAGCAGCCGCGGUAAUACGGAGGAUCCGAGCGUUAUCCGGAUUUAUUGGGUUUAAAGGGUGCGUAGGCGGCCUUUUAAGUCAGCGGUGAAAGUCUGUGGCUCAACCAUAGAAUUGCCGUUGAAACUGGGGGGCUUGAGUAUGUUUGAGGCAGGCGGAAUGCGUGGUGUAGCGGUGAAAUGCUUAGAUAUCACGCAGAACCCCGAUUGCGAAGGCAGCCUGCCAAGCCAUGACUGACGCUGAUGCACGAAAGCGUGGGGAUCAAACAGGAUUAGAUACCCUGGUAGUCCACGCAGUAAACGAUGAUCACUAGCUGUUUGCGAUACACUGUAAGCGGCACAGCGAAAGCGUUAAGUGAUCCACCUGGGGAGUACGCCGGCAACGGUGAAACUCAAAGGAAUUGACGGGGGCCCGCACAAGCGGAGGAACAUGUGGUUUAAUUCGAUGAUACGCGAGGAACCUUACCCGGGUUUGAACGCAUUCGGACCGAGGUGGAAACACCUUUUCUAGCAAUAGCCGUUUGCGAGGUGCUGCAUGGUUGUCGUCAGCUCGUGCCGUGAGGUGUCGGCUUAAGUGCCAUAACGAGCGCAACCCUUGCCACUAGUUACUAACAGGUAAAGCUGAGGACUCUGGUGGGACUGCCAGCGUAAGCUGCGAGGAAGGCGGGGAUGACGUCAAAUCAGCACGGCCCUUACAUCCGGGGCGACACACGUGUUACAAUGGCGUGGACAAAGGGAAGCCACCUGGCGACAGGGAGCGAAUCCCCAAACCACGUCUCAGUUCGGAUCGGAGUCUGCAACCCGACUCCGUGAAGCUGGAUUCGCUAGUAAUCGCGCAUCAGCCAUGGCACGGUGAAUACGUUCCCGGGCCUUGUACACACCGCCCGUCAAGCCAUGGGAGCCGGGGGUACCUGAAGUCCGUAACCGCGAGGAUCGGCCUAGGGUAAAACUGGUGACUGGGGCU